rnacentral:rRNA from 1 species
AGCUCCAAUAUCGUAUAUUAAAGUUAAUGCAGUUAAAACUCUUGUAUUUGGAUUUGUAGUGUGUCCGGUGAGCCUUUGCUCGUUGAGUGAUAGUGCUGUUACUGGUUUGCCAUGUUUGGGUGGAAUCUGUGUGGUAUUAACUUGUCGUGCAGGGGAUGCCCAUCGUUUACUAUGAAAAAAAUUAGAAUGUUCAAAAAAGGCUUAUGCUUCUGAAUAUAUUAGCAUGGAAUAAUGAUAUAGGACCUUACUAUUAUUUUGUUGGUUUGCGCACUGAGGUACUGAUUAAGAGGGACAGUUGGGGAUAUUUGUAUUCCAUUGUCCGAGGUGAAAUUCAUUGAUUUUUGGAAGACAAACUACUGAGAAAGCAUUUACCAAGGAUGUUGUUA